AAACAUAAUGUUUUCUUAAUUCUAUGAAGAACACGCACUAGAGAUGCUUAGGUACAUCUCAGAAGGAUUGGUGUGAACCAGAAUAUAACAAGAAAUGACCAUAGCAGCUGGUCGUCCUUAGAAGGUGCAUUUUUUGUUGAACCACUUCAGACUGUUGUCAGGCUUGGGUUCCUCAAUAUAUCCAUCUCAUCGAUUUAGCUCUGGAUGUUUGUUGUAAGAUUUUACAUCCUAGGCCUGUAUGUGAACCUUGACCCGGACAAUCUUACACACAAUAAUAGAAGAGUCACCUGAAAUUGCACAGUCAAAUUCAUCAGAUUCAGAUGUGAGCACCAACUCUGUAAUGCCUGGAACACUUCCACGGAGAAGAAAAAAGGCCUGUCCUGCCAUUUUCAGGUAGAUGCAGUAGUGGAUAUCCUGGCAAACCUCUAUUGGACUUAAGAGCCACCUUGGGACAAUCCCCCAUAACAAAUGUGCAUCUUAGGCUUGGCAAUCUCAAUCAGUUUUGUAGGAAAGGAGGAUUGGCAC